rnacentral:lncRNA from 1 species
UGUUUUUACACUCACAAGAACACCACACUUGUGUUUGAAUAUUGCUUACAAAGAAUUUUUGAAUAUCCUCUCUAUCGCACCUGACUUUAUUUGAUGGACACGAGAAGAUUUGAGUCUGAUAACGUCCCUAGUCCACUGCACUUUAAAAGGUAAAAUCUUAUCCUUCUAUUUAAUUAAACCAUUUGCGGUUGUGUUAGAAAAUAAUGAGUUAUGUAUUAUUUUUUUGUCUGUAUUUAUAUUACAAUGUAUUAAUAUAUUUUUGGUAUUUACUGUGAUAUGAUUAUCUCUCUUUAGUUGUGGGAAAUCUGAUUUGUAUCAUAUAAAUGGAGUUAUCAUGUACAACUCUAUGUUCUGCUGGAUUAAAAACUACCCCAUGCUAAUUUAGUCUUAAAAAAUGAUAAAUUGACUACUUUGGUUAAGAAUUAGAUAUGCUACUAUGUAGAAACUUUAUUUACUAGCACAUGCUAAACUAAGGAUCUUGAACUAUGAUUUGAUAUAAUAACAGUGAAAUGAUAAUUUGCUCUCUAUUGCAUUUUUUAGAGAUAAUUUAUGGGCGAUGUUUUGUAUUUACUUAGUUUGUGCCAAGUACGUGAAAUAUCAAGUUUUGUUUAGAUGAGAAUGUAAUAUGUUCCUAGGGAUGAUGAAUAUAAUUUUCGAAUGACUAUUAUCCUCUUUCUAACUCUUUUCUAAUGUUUAUUUAAUAUGAAAAUUGGAGCCGAGGAGUCUCAUUUUGAGACUCAACGACGCCACUACCGCACAGAGCUUGCAUAUCCUUUACAUGGAGUCCGCACACCUUACUAUUAAUGUUCAAAUGUCGAAUAACAUGGGAGAUUCUUUCCUUCUCUUAAAGCCGAGCAUAACUAUUAAUUACCUCAUUUAUCUCAGCUUGUUUUAUUUAUUUGUGUUGAUGUGAUUAAUGUUUUUAUCUCUAUUUAUGUGUUUCCUGAUAUGUAAGAAAUUUCAUUGACCCCAUACAGUAGCUAUGAAUACUUACUUUUAUCACUUAAAGAGAGCCUUUAUUUUUAAAAUAUAAGAAACCAAAAUACUAAAGUUAGAAAUGUUCCUCAUUAAAAUUUUCUUGUAGUUACUCACUUCGCUUUCAAGUACUUUUGUUAACAACAAACCACAAC